ensembl:lncRNA
CCCAGUUGCUCUCUUUAAUGGCCUUUAUCCUGCCCCUAAAAUGGUCCUUCCACUGCGUCCCUCAACCCCACUGAGCUGGCAAUUCCUUUCACAUCGUUCCCUGUCAAGGGUCAUCCCCACACUUCGCGCCCAGCGCUGACUGUGAGGACUGACCGCACGGUGGCGCUAGGGAUCGCAGUGGACAAAUCACUACUGCUGCAAUCAGGUGACUGCGCUAACCCGAGGCUCGGGACUCGCCCUGGUGUCAGGGGCUCAGUCCCAGCACUUGGGAAGUGAAGGCAGAAAGAUCGGAAGUGUGAGGUUAUCUUCAGUUACGAGAGUUCAAGGCUAACCUGGGCUACAAGAGACCCUGCUCGAAAUAACAUGGCGAUGAACGUCCUCCAGGCAGCUCUUCCUUACUUGACAUCCACAUCCAUCCUUCUGCAGAGGACAGUCCCAGGCAUCUAGCACAGCACACGACACAGACAACAAGUUGCAGGAGCUGAAGCUCCCAGAGGUGAAGUGGCUUGCUCCAAGUCAUCAGGCCAGAAAGAGAAGACACUGAGGUCCCAAGAUAAGAAGGAAUAUGCUGCAGAUUUUUGAUUCGUGUCAGAACCUAGACUAGAAAGCAUCCAAGGCUUAAGUGGACUAAGGCUGACUUUGGUCAGCUGACUGCAGCAUGGGGGUGCCAGAUCUUCCCUCUAAGGCCUCAGUUUCUCCAUUUGGAAAUAACUGCUGAAAUGAAGUAAUUAUGAAUGACCACCAUAUACUAGCCAAUUUCUAUAGUUAGCACUCCUAGCCAUCACCAAAAAAAUUAUCUUUGGUGCAGCAUCCGUAUCCCCAGAAACACAAGUGUCCCCCGAAAGCCGCAGAAGGAGAAAACUACAACACCCAUGACGCCCAGCGCUGCGUCUGCGCAUAGUGAUCAGUCCGCGAAACCCUACUCGCCAUCUAGCGGCGGCCUGGAGAAGCGCUCCGCUCGGAUCCCCGAGAGGCGGAGGACCCGCGGUGCACGCAGUCGGGAUAUUCCGCUGCAGCCGCGAAGCCGGGGG